AGGUCGUAACAAGGUUUCCGUAGGUGAACCUGCGGAAGGAUCAUUACCGAGUUCUUGCCUUGCCUCUGCAGGAACUCCCACCCCUUGAUUACUAUAGCGUUGCUUUCGGCGCAGACGCGUGGAAACAGGCCAUUGACCUCUCACGUCGAUGCGUGCUCGCCGGAGUUUCAUACUCUAACAUUAUGUGUUCGUCAGAGAAUCAAAAAUCUAAAAAAU
rnacentral:misc_RNA from 1 species